AUAUCGCUAAGUGGAGGAAAUAAAAUUUAUUAAGAUUGCCUCAGUAAUGGCCUGUUAGAGAAAGUUACAGCUCAAUAUUUUGCGUUACCUCUCAACGAGUGUCUUAUGAAGCGGCAGGCUGUUUGGAACUGCAGCACAAAGUGGGGGAUAAACUUCUUCUAAGGCUAAAUACAGAUGGGAGACCGAUAGCGCACAAGUA
rnacentral:rRNA from 1 species